CACGUAGGGCGCAAGCGUUGUCCGGAAUUAUUGGGCGUAAAGAGCUCGUAGGCGGUCUGUUGCGUCCGCUGUGAAAACUCGGGGCUUAACCCCGAGCCUGCAGUGGAUACGGGCAGACUAGAGGUAGGUAGGGGAGAAUGGAAUUCCCGGUGUAGCGGUGAAAUGCGCAGAUAUCGGGAGGAACACCGGUAGCGAAGGCGGCACUCUGGGCCGUGACUGACGCUGAGGAGCGAAAGCGUGGGUAGCAAACAGG
rnacentral:rRNA from 1 species